rnacentral:rRNA from 1 species
GACAGAGGAUGCAAGCGUUAUCCGGAAUGAUUGGGCGUAAAGCGUCUGUAGGUGGCUUUUUAAGUCUGCCGUCAAAUCCCAGGGCUUAACCCUGGACAGGCGGUGGAAACUACCAAGCUGGAGUACGGUAGGGGCAGAUGGAAUUCCGGGUGUAGCGGUGGAAUGCGUAGAGAUCCGGAAGAACACCGGUGGCGAAGGCGGUCUGCUGGGCAGUUGCUGACACUGAGGCGCGACAGCGUGGGGAGCAAACAGG